CCUACGGGCGGCAGCAGUGAGGAAUAUUGGUCAAUGGGCGGGAGCCUGACCCAGCCAAGUCGCGUGAGGGAAGACGGUCCUACGAUCGUAAACCUCUUUUGCCGGGGAGCAACGGGGUCCUUGCGAGGGCCCAAUGAGAGUACCCGGAGAAAAAGCAUCGGCUGACUCCGUGCCAGCAGCCGCGGUAAUAGGGGGGAUGCGAGCGUUAUCCGGAUUUAUUGGGCUUAAAGGGUGCGUAGGCUGGCUGUUAAGUCAGCGGUCAAAUGUCGGGGCUCAACCCCGGCCUGCCGUUGAAACUGGCGGCCUCGAGUGGGCGAGAAGUAUGCGGAAUGCGUGGUGUAGCAGUGAAAUACAUAGAUAUCACGCAGAACUCCGAUUGCGAAGGCAGCAUACCGGCGCCCUACUGACGCUGAGGAACGAAAGCGUGGGUAUCGAACAGGAUUAGAUACCCCUGUAGUC
rnacentral:rRNA from 1 species